UGCGUAGGCGGCUCUAUAAGUAUGGUGUGAAAUCUCCCGGCUUAACUGGGAGGGUGCGCUAUAGACUGUGGGGCUAGAGGGUGGGAGAGGAAAGUGGAAUUCCUGGUGUAGCGGUGAAAUGCGUAGAUAUCAGGAGGAACACCGAUGGUGUAAACGGCUUUCUGGACCAUUUCUGACGCUGAGGCACGAAAGCGUGGGUAGCAAACAGGAUUAGAUACCCUGGUAGUCCACGCCCUAAACGAUGCAUAUUUGGUGUGGGCCAUUCAUUUGGUCUGUGCCGGAGCUAACGCGUUAAAUAUGCCGCCUGGGGAGUACAGUCGCAAGGCUGAA
rnacentral:rRNA from 1 species